ACAGGUCACCAAAAAAGCUUCCAGGGAUUUCUCAGACCAAAACCAUGACCCAGCCAGGGCCUUAUAUAGGCCUGUCUGUUAUGACAUCACAAAGGCUUUUCAUGAGCUCAGAGCAAAGCAGGGCCAAUCAUGGCUGGGGAUCUUUCACAGAGGUUUUCUCUCUUUUGGUCCCCAAAACAUCUUCCUCUUUUAAAAAGGUUUUUCCUUCCUCAUGUGGUUGAGAUUAUGUAAUGGACAGAGAAUAAACAGACAUACCCUACCCUCCAUGAGCCCAUAGCCUCUUCAGGAAGGCCCCCCCAGACAUGAAGCUCCUUCAGCGUGAGAAGCACCAGCAUGACCCUCCAGUGCCUUCAUCGGUCUCCACAGAGCUCAUCCUGGUAGAGGAUGUGAGGGUGAGCCUGGAAGAGGUGACCAUCUAGGACCAUCUUGGCUUCCAGAUACAGCCCAUGCCCUGCCAGCUGCCUGGGUAAGACCCACCAGGGGACCCCCUCACUCUCCAAGACACAGCCCAACUCUCCCUGAAUCUGCCUCCUGCCAGUGGAGCUCCACUUCAGGAAAGACUCAGGUGACUUCGUCCUCAAUACCAGUGCUGUGGAUGACAUCAAGAUGGCCUACCAGGAAACCAGGGCCAUCACCAUGAGAUAGGGUCUCACAAUGUUUCCCAGCUGGUCUCGAACUCCUGGGCUCAAGGGAUCCACCCGCCCUGGCCUCGCAAAGUGCUGGCAUUACCGGUGUGACCCUCCGCACCCAGGUUACCUUUAUGAUUUUCAUUCCAUGUCCACAAACUACCCACACUGUUACCUAAUGGUUUCCUUUCUGUCAAUCUUUCCAUUAAAAUAAAAAUAUUAAAGAGGUUGCACCUUUCUCUGUUUCCCCAGGUUGAUUUCUUGACCCUCUCCCUAUUCUUGCAAGUGUUGACUUAUCUGUGCUCGUGGCAUGGAAGAAUUUAGUGUUCUGCUUUCCAAUAUCUUAUUCUAGUCUCACUUUUUCUAUUUCCCCAUGUUGACAGGGAGGCUGGCUGAUUAUUUUUAUGUCUUCAUUUGUACUUUUGCCGUUCUUUUCUAAUCAGAGUGUUUGGAUGGUCAAAAUGUUUUUGUUCUUUCAAAAAUAUAGGGAAGAAUAGAAUGAA